rnacentral:rRNA from 1 species
GCACAAGCAGCGGAGCGUGUGGUUUAAUUCGAUGCUACACGAAGAACCUUACCCGGGUUUAGACAUGCAAGUGGUAGUGAUCCGAAAGGUGAACGACCCGCAAGGGAGCUUGGCACAGGUGUUUGCAUGGCUGUCGUCAGCUCGUGUCGUGAGAUGUUCGGUUAAGUCCGCUAACGAGCGCAACCCUCGCUGUAUGUUACAUGUGUCAUACAGGACCGCCGGUAUCAAAGCCGGAGGAAGGUGGGGAUGACGUCAAGUCCGCAUGGCCUUUAUGUCCGGGGCUACACACACGCUACAAUGGUCGGUACAAUGGGUUGCUAAGCCGCGAGGUGGAGCCAAUCCCCAAAGCCGGCCUACAGUUCAGAUUGCAGGCUGCAACUCGCCCUGCAUGAAGCUGGAGUUGCUAGUAAACGCGCGUCAGCUAUAGUGCGUUGAAUACGUUCUCGGGCCUU